rnacentral:misc_RNA from 1 species
GAUGAAGAACGCAGCGAAAUGCGAUACUUGGUGUGAAUUGCAGAAUCCCGUGAACCAUCGAGUCUUUGAACGCAAGUUGCGCCCGAGGCCACCCGGCCGAGGGCACGCCUGCCUGGGCGUCACGCCAAAACACGCUCCCACCCCCCCCCUCACCGGGGGAGCGGGACGCGGCGUCUGGCCCCCCGUGCCGCGAGGCGCGGUGGGCCGAAGAUCGGGCUGCCGGCGUACCGUGCCGGGCACAGCGCGUGGUGGAUCUCUACUCGGCGCAGUGCACCCGGCGCGUAGCCGGCGCAGCGGCCCCUAAGGACCCAACGAACGGAGCGCGAGCCGCUCCGACCGCGACCCCAGGUCAGGCGGGAAUACCCGCUGAACUUAAGCAUAUCAAUAAGCGGAGGA